UGGGGAAUUUUGGACAAUGGGCGAAAGCCUGAUCCAGCAAUGCCGCGUGUGUGAAGAAGGCCUUCGGGUUGUAAAGCACUUUUGUCCGGAAAGAAAUCCUUGGCUCUAAUACAGUCGGGGGAUGACGGUACCGGAAGAAUAAGCACCGGCUAACUACGUGCCAGCAGCCGCGGUAAUACGUAGGGUGCAAGCGUUAAUCGGGAAUUACUGGGCGUAAAGCGUGCGCAGGCGGUUUGCUAAGACCGAUGUGAAAUCCCCGGGCUCAACCUGGGAACUGCAUUGGUGACUGGCAGGCUAGAGUAUGGCAGAGGGGGGUAGAAUUCCACGUNUAGCAGUGAAAUGCGUAGAGAUGUGGAGGAAUACCGAUGGCGAAGGCAGCCCCCCUGGGCAAUACUGACGCUCAUGCACGAAAGCGUGGGGAGCAAACAGGAUUAGAUACCCUGGUAGU
rnacentral:rRNA from 1 species